AUACUUACCUGGCAGGGGAGAUACCAUGAUCACGAAGGUGGUUUUCCCAGAGUGAGGCUCAUCCAUUGCACUCCGGGUGUGCUGACCCCUGCGAUUUCCCCAAAUGCGGGAAACUCGACUGCAUAAUUUGUGGUAGUGGGGGACCGCGUACGCACUUUCUCCUA
rnacentral:snRNA from 1 species